GACGGAGGAUGCAAGCGUUAUCCGGAAUGAUUGGGCGUAAAGCGUCCGCAGGUGGCAGUUCAAGUCUGCUGUCAAAGACCGGGGCUUAACUUCGGAAAGGCAGUGGAAACUGAACAGCUAGAGUAUGGUAGGGGCAGAGGGAAUUCCUGGUGUAGCGGUGAAAUGCGUAGAUAUCAGGAAGAACAUCGGUGGCGAAAGCGCUCUACUGGACCGCAACUGACACUCAGGGACGAAAGCUAGGGGAGCGAAUGGG
rnacentral:rRNA from 1 species